rnacentral:rRNA from 1 species
GUGGGGAAUCUUCCGCAAUGGACGAAAGUCUGACGGAGCAACGCCGCGUGAGUGAAGAAGGUUUUCGGAUCGUAAAGCUCUUUCGUUAGGGACGAACGUGCUCUUUGUGAAUAAUGAGGAGUAAUGACGGUACCUAAAUAAGAAGCCACGGCUAACUACGUGCCAGCAGCCGCGGUAAUACGUAGGUGGCAAGCGUUGUCCGGAAUUAUUUGGCGUAAAGCGCGCGCAGGCGGGAUAUCAAGUCUGUCUUAAAAGUGCGAGGCUCAACCUCGUGAGGGGACAGAAACUGGUAUUCUUGAGUGUCGGAGAGGAAAGUGGAAUUCCAAGUGUAGCGGUGAAAUGCGUAGAGAUUUGGAAGAACACCAGUGGCGAAGGCGACUUUCUGGACGAUGUCUGACGCUGAGGCGCGAAAGCUAGGGGAGCGAACGGGAUUAGAUACCCGGGUAGUCC